GACCUCGGAUCAGGUAGGAAUACCCGCUGAACUUAAGCAUAUCAAUAAGCGGAGGAGAAGAAACCAACAGGGAUUACCUCAGUAACGGCGAGUGAAGCGGUAAUAGCUCAAAUUUGAAAUCUGGCUCUUUCAGGGUCCGAGUUGUAAUUUGUAGAGGAUGUUUCGGGCACGGUUACGGUUUAAAUUUCUUGGAACAGAAUGUCAAAGAGGGUGAGAGUCCCGUCUUGAACCGAUUACUUCGUCCAUGUGAAACUCCUUCGACGAGUCGAGUUGUUUGGGAAUGCAGCUCAAAAUGGGUGGUAAAUUUCAUCUAAAGCUAAAUAUUGGCCAGAGACCGAUAGCGCACAAGUAGAGUGAUCGAAAGAUGAAAAGCACUUUGAAAAGAGAGUUAAACAGUAUGUGAAAUUGUUGAAAGGGAAGCGC
rnacentral:rRNA from 1 species